rnacentral:rRNA from 1 species
GACGAACGCUGGCGGCGUGCUUAACACAUGCAAGUCGAACGGUGAAGCGAGUGCUUGCACUCGUGGAUCAGUGGCGAACGGGUGAGUAACACGUGAGUAACCUGCCCAUCACUCUGGGAUAAGCACUGGAAACGGUGUCUAAUACUGGAUACGACCAACCCUUGCAUGGGGUGUUGGUGGAAAGAUUUAUCGGUGAUGGAUGGACUCGCGGCCUAUCAGCUUGUUGGCGGGGUAAUGGCCCACCAAGGCGACGACGGGUAGCCGGCCUGAGAGGGUGACCGGCCACACUGGGACUGAGACACGGCCCAGACUCCUACGGGAGGCAGCAGUGGGGAAUAUUGCACAAUGGGCGAAAGCCUGAUGCAGCGACGCCGCGUGAGGGAUGACGGCCUUCGGGUGGUAAACCUCUUUCAGCAGGGAAGAAGCGAAAGUGACGGUACCUGCAGAAGAAGCACCGGCUAACUACGU